UCACUGGAGGAUUAGUGGUUAGGCCACGGCACUCUCACCCCCAUGCCCGGGUUCAAUUCCCAGCCAGGGAA